ACAGUAGGCAACUGCAGCAGGAGAGCUGGUCCUGGUCCGACAGCCUGUCAGCCUCUUAGUCAUUGAGGAUUGUCGGAACGUCAGCAGCAGCUUAGUCGGAGUUCACGGUUUCAACAUUACAGACAACGCGAAAUAUGACUUGCUAUGUUGGCGGCAUCGGUGGAACUGCCGACGGUUCCGUCAGCCACUUCGGUAUCGCCAGUUGGAAGUCUGGUCCAGCAAAUAUUGUCACAAUUCAACUGGACACAACCCAGGAGAGCUCUGGUUGUAAAGGAUACAGUUUGCGGUUCGCCAGAGCUCAGAUGAACCGAAUUCCUGGCAGCGUGGCAUGUCACUCGGAGGAACAGUAAGAUGUCAAGGCCAGCGAGCCAUGAGUGAUGGAGGCCGAGGGAGGGGAAAAAAUUAGCCCAAGAGAUUAUGUGUUAGAAUAAGAUGGAUGAGGUAGUGAACGUCCAAAUCAGUGCCUGUGUUUCACCAUCAUGCAAUUCCAGCUUUUUGGUCAACUUUGUCUAAGAUGCACUAUAUACCUGUAAGUGUCCAUUGGCUGAUAUGUG